GGCCGUUGGAUGAUUGAAACGACGGUUCGGAUUGAUUCGGCUUCGGUGGGUCCCGGAAGGCUAUAUUUAUUUGUUUUUUGCAUACGUAGGCGGCGUAUUUUUUGGGUUUACACGAAUAUCUAAAACAAUUGAAUUUAAAACGGAGUGGGCCGAAAAUUUCAAAAGGCAAGAUGUUAAUUGACAGAACUACCCUUGUCUUUAAAGCGGAAGAAGAAGAGGAGGAUUACAAGACCAAACACAAUGUCUAUUUUAAAAAGCAAAAGGGUUGUUUAGAGAUUAGAUUUAUUGACUUUGUAUUACAUAUGAUUUCUAUUUUAUUUGGGAAUCUCUGCUAAAACAGAGUUAUUAUAACAUGUAGGAUGCUUUUAUUGCUUGUUAUAUUUAGGCCUUGGCGGUUUCAGCCUCAUCAGCUCCCCAGAAACUUGUUUUCUUUCCUGUCUUUGAGACUGUCUGAA